GUGAAAUUCCGUCGGAAUCUGGGAGGACCAUCUCCUAAGGCUAAAUACUCUCUAGUGACCGAUAGUGAACCAGUACCGUGAGGGAAAGGUGAAAAGCACCCCGGAAGGGGAGUGAAAUAGAACCUGAAACCGUGUGCUUACAAGUAGUCAGAGCCCGUUAAUGGGUGAUGGCGUGCCUUUUGUAGAAUGAACCGGCGAGUUACGAUUUGAUGCAAGGUUAAGCAGUAAAUGUGGAGCCGUAGCGAAAGCGAGUCUGAAUAGGGCGUUUAGUAUUUGGUCGUAGACCCGAAACCAGGUGAUCUACCCUUGGUCAGGUUGAAGUUCAGGUAACACUGAAUGGAGGACCGAACCGACUUACGUUGAAAAGUGAGCGGAUGAACUGAGGGUAGCGGAGAAAUUCCAAUCGAACCUGGAGAUAGCUGGUUCUCUCCGAAAUAGCUUUAGGGCUAGCCUCAAGUGAUGAUUAUUGGAGGUAGAGCACUGUUUGGACGAGGGGCCCCUCUCGGGUUACCGAAUUCAGACAAACUCCGAAUGCCAAUUAAUUUAACUUGGGAGUCAGAACAUGGGUGAUAAGGUCCAUGUUCGAAAGGGAAACAGCCCAGACCACCAGCUAAGGUCCCAAAAUAUAUGUUAAGUGGAAAAGGAUGUGGCGUUGCCCAGACAACUAGGAUGUUGGCUUAGAAGCAGCCAUCAUUUAAAGAGUGCGUAAUAGCUCACUAGUCGAGUGACACUGCGCCGAAAAUGUACCGGGGCUAAACAUAUUACCGAAGCUGUGGAUUGUCCUUUGGACAAUGGUAGGAGAGCGUUCUAAGGGCGUUGAAGCAUGAUCGUAAGGACAUGUGGAGCGCUUAGAAGUGAGAAUGCCGGUGUGAGUAGCGAAAGAUGGGUGAGAAUCCCGUCCACCGAUUGACUAAGGUUUCCAGAGGAAGGCUCGUCCGCUCUGGGUUAGUCGGGUCCUAAGCUGAGGCCGACAGGCGUAGGCGAUGGAUAACAGGUUGAUAUUCCUGUACCACCUAUAAUCGUUUUAAUCGAUGGGGGGACGCAGUAGGAUAGGCGAAGCGUGCGAUUGGAUUGCACGUCUAAGCAGUAAGGCUGAGUAUUAGGCAAAUCCGGUACUCGUUAAGGCUGAGCUGUGAUGGGGAGAAGACAUUGUGUCUUCGAGUCGUUGAUUUCACACUGCCGAGAAAAGCCUCUAGAUAGAAAAUAGGUGCCCGUACCGCAAACCGACACAGGUAGUCAAGAUGAGAAUUCUAAGGUGAGCGAGCGAACUCUCGUUAAGGAACUCGGCAAAAUGACCCCGUAACUUCGGGAGAAGGGGUGCUCUUUAGGGUUAACGCCCAGAAGA
rnacentral:rRNA from 1 species